ACUAACGUUUCGUCUUUAACCUAAGACAUCUUCAGAGUAAAUGAAUAUAGUAAUUUAUUCAUAUUUGUAACCCAUUGUCAUACUUAUAUUCAUUUACUCUGAAGAUGUCUUAGGUUAAAGACGAAACGUUAGU